rnacentral:rRNA from 1 species
AUUGAACGCUGGCGGCAUGCUUUACACAUGCAAGUCGAACGGCAGCACGAAAGAGCUUGCUCUUUUGGUGGCGAGUGGCGAACGGGUGAGUAAUGCAUCGGAACGUACCGAGUAAUGGGGGAUAACUGUCCGAAAGGAUAGCUAAUACCGCAUACGCUUUGAGAAGGAAAGUGGGGGCUCUUCGGACCUCACGUUAUUCGAUCGGCCGAUGUCUGAUUAGCUAGUUGGUGGGGUAAAGGCCUACCAAGGCGACGAUCAGUAGCGGGUCUGAGAGGAUGAUCCGACACACUGGGACUGAGACACGGCCCAGACUCCUACGGGAGGCAGCAGUGGGGAAUUUUGGACAAUGGGCGCAAGCCUGAUCCAGCCAUGCCGCGUGUCUGAAGAAGGCCUUCGGAUUGUAAAGGACUUUUGUUAGGGAAGAAAAGGAUAGUGUUAAUACCAUUAUCUGCUGACGGUACCUAAAGAAUAAGCACCGGCUAACUACGUG